rnacentral:lncRNA from 13 species
CAGCUGCAGCACACGUUUUAUGGGUUCUGCAGAAAGAAAUAGUCCCCCAGCAAAUACAGUAGCUACAUUCAGGUCCAGCGAGCCAUCACCACCUUCUCCCUUGCACUCUUUCAAAGCUUCAUCACAUUAAAAACCCCCUGUAAAUUUCAUGUAUUUGCUGGCUCACUAGAGAAGAUGACUUGGAAGAAAUUGACUACAGGUAAAUACACUGAAAGAAGCAAUUAAAAAGCAGUUCAGCACCAUUGUGGAACUUCUUCCAAGUGCAAUUCUUCCUGCA